GCCUCCGGUGGGUUAGUCUGGUAGACCGGAGGUCGUGGGUUCGAUUCCCACCUGAGGCA
rnacentral:tRNA from 1 species